AAUACACACAGAAGGUGUCUUAGUCCGUUCUGGGUGCUAUAACAAAAUAACAGACUGGGCAAUUUAUAAGUAACAGAAACUUAUUUUUUACAGUUUGAAGGCUGGGAUGAUCAAGGUGCCAGAAAAUUGAGAAUCUAGUGAGGGCUUGCUCUCUGCUUCAAAGAUGACACCUUCUGGCUGUAUCCUGUGGCAGAAGGGGACAAAGAAGCUCCCUCGGGCCACUUCCUUACAAGCUAUUGAGGCACUCCAGAGUGACGGCAUGUGAUCCCCCUGACACAAGAAACAGGCCCAGAUAACACACCGUUCAGACCGACAGCAGUUCUGGUUAUGCUGCAGUACAUCAGAAAAGUGCUCUUAUCCAUCCACAGUUCUUAUCACAGUUACUUAUGCAUAUAUUCAUUUUUUAUAUAAAAGAAUCUUGAAUCGGUCACUUAAAUAUUGAAUCUCAAUAAUAAAAAAUACUAAAAGUAUA
rnacentral:lncRNA from 1 species